GGAAUCUUGCGCAAUGGGCGAAAGCCUGACGCAGCGACGCCGCGUGAGGGAUGAAGGCCUUCGGGUCGUAAACCUCUGUCGGGAGGGAAGAACGGUUGCCGUUCGAACAGGCCGGCAGCCUGACGGUACCCCCAAAGGAAGCACCGGCUAACCCCGUGCCAGCAGCCGCGGUAAUACGGAGGGUGCGAGCGUUGGUCGGAAUCAUUGGGCGUAAAGCGCGUGUAGGCGGCUUGGUAAGUCGGGUGUGAAAUCCCGGGGCCCAACCCCGGAACUGCAUUCGAAACUGCCUCGCUAGAGUCCCGGAGAGGAAGGCGGAAUUCCCGGUGUAGAGGUGAAAUUCGUAGAUAUCGGGAGGAACACCAGCGGCGAAGGCGGCCUUCUGGACGGUGACUGACGCUGAGACGCGAAAGCGUGGGGAGC
rnacentral:rRNA from 1 species